rnacentral:rRNA from 1 species
UGAAAAGAACUUUGAAGAGAGAGUUCAAAAGGGCGUGAAACCGCUUAGAAUAAAACGGACGGAGCCGUCAGUGGCCCUAUGGAAUCAGUCGUAUGACGCGCGAUAAUUCGCUAGUCGGAGCGAAAAGUCUGACUAGUGGGUUGGAAAAUAGCGUUCACUCGAUGCAUUUCCAGAGGGUAAGCGCCGCGACCGAUGCGAAAGGCUAGUGAAACUAGCGAAUUGAGGGCGAAACCUUUCGGGGUAUUCGUAACCAGUUCGUUGGUCUAUAGUCGCUAGACCGUAGUAUGCAUCGAGCGCAGAAUUCGAUAUAACGCCGGCGUAAGCGCUCGUUCGAGCGGUGGAAAGUCGACGGAUUAUUCGUCGCCUGCUUGCAGGUUACGUUUAUUCCCGUUCGGCGCUAGAAACUGCGGACGAGUAUCGGUGUUUAGGCGUCAGCGGCGUCCGAGACGGUCAACCGUCCGACCCGUCUUGAAACACGGACCAAGGAGUCUAACGUACGCGCGAGCUAAUGAGUGGAAAACUCAUAAGCGCAAUAAAAGUAAAAGUCGUCUCAGGCGGCGCAGGGUACGAUCCUCGGGUAGAGAUAUUCGAGGCGCAGUACCAUCCCGUCCUAAUCGCUUGUCGAUAGGGCGGAGAUUGAGUGCAUACGUUGGGACCCGAAAGAUGGUGAACUAUGCCUGAGCAGAGCGAAGCCAGAGGAAACUCUGGUGGAGGUUCGUAGCGGUUCUGACGUGCAAAUCGAUCGUCA